CUCUCUUUCUAUGAAAUCCGAAUUGUAUCUUUAAACCUCUAGCGAUACAGGGAAGGAUCUGAAGAUAAGGAAGUGGCAUGAUCAGCUGUGGAAGCCGAACCACGUGUGAGGCCCCGAGCCACAGCAUCCUUCCGGCUCUGGAAACCCAAGUGAAGCACCCUGAGGCCUUCGACUUUGAUGCUUACUGUGAAAAAAGAAAGGAAGGGAGCCUCUGAAAAGAGAUCUUGCAAGACUUUUAAGCAAAUGUCCUCGGAUGCACUCUGCCUAAGCUCAGAAGACACCAAAAAGCAUGUGCCAAAACAUGGCCAGGAGGCUACUACUCUGGAAUUAAACAGCAUCCUCACGUUGGGAAGUACUAGAAGAAAGGACAAGCUACAUGGUAAUCAACCAACUGGGGUACUGCAACAGGCCAUCCAGGUUACAGGAGGAAAAAAAAAGAUAAUUAAAGUAGCUGGAAAAACCCAGCUAGAAAAUCCACUAACCAGCUCAACUAGGGUUCACGAUCUAUUCCAUAUAUUAGUAACCAUUAGUCUACAUCACACAUAACUAGAAAUUGGGGUUUGUGUACUACUGAUUCAGUCUCAGAAUCCUAAACCAUAAAAUUAACAUAAAAGUUGCCCCCAAGCCUUUAAAUGCCUGGAAUCUCUGAAAGGGACGUAUGGCGAAAUAUACCCUCAACACAAGAUGUACAAAAUUCACAUAGAGAGAGCCCAACUAAAAGUGAUCUCACACAAUCUGCGAAGACAGAAAUUUACGGAAUCCCAUUUGGGAGUCAGCAAACACAACAUGCAACAGAAUCCAACAGCAAAAUUCAAAUAAUGGAAAACUCUAAGUUACUAUCAAAUAAAUAUACUUAAAUUGAUUAAAGCCA
ensembl:lncRNA